GGACUCGUAGCUCAGCUGGAUAGAGCGAUUGGCUUCGAACCAAUAGGUCGGGGGUUCGAGUCCCUCCGAGUCUACCA
rnacentral:tRNA from 1 species